AACGUAGGAGACAAACGUUAUCCGGAGUUACUGGGCGUAAAGGGCGUGUAGGCGGUUAGUUAAGUCUGGCGUGAAAGCUCUCGGCUAAACCGGGAGAGGUCGUCGGAUACUGGCAAACUAGAGGACGGUAGAGGCGUGUGGAAUUCCGGGUGUAGUGGUGAAAUGCGUAGAGAUCCGGAGGAACACCAGUGGCGAAGGCGGCGAUCUGGGCAGAUACUGACGCUGAGGUGCGAAAGCGUGGGGAGCAAACAGG
rnacentral:rRNA from 1 species